rfam:Myotis davidii contig203665, whole genome shotgun sequence.
GGUGGUUCUUGGGUGACACAUCCCGGAAUCGGGCUUCCUCCUCUCUGGUUCUGGGUUCAUCACCUGAGAACCGCA